UACAGAGGUCUCAAGCGUUUGUUCGGAUUCAUUGGGCGUAAAGGGUGUGUAGGUGGCGCGCUAAGUCGGGUGUGAAAUUUCGGAGCUUAACUCCGAAACUGCAUUCGAUACUGGCGUGCUUGAGGACUGGAGAGGAGACUGGAAUUCAUGGUGUAGCAGUGAAAUGCGUAGAGAUCAUGAGGAACCAGCUGGCGCGAAGGCGGGUCUCUGGGCCGAUACUGACGCUGAGGAGCGAAAGCGUGGGGAGCGAACAGG
rnacentral:rRNA from 1 species